rnacentral:misc_RNA from 1 species
GAUGAAGAACGUAGCGAAAUGCGAUACGUAAUGUGAAUUGCAGAAUUCAGUGAAUCAUCGAGUCUUUGAACGCACAUUGCGCCCCCUGGUAUUCCGGGGGGCAUGCCUGUCCGAGCGUCAUUGCUGCCCUCAAGCACGGCUUGUGUGUUGGGCCUCCGUCCUCCUCCCGGGGGACGGGCCCGAAAGGCAGCGGCGGCACCGCGUCCGGUCCUCGAGCGUAUGGGGCUUCGUCACCCGCUCUUGUAGGCCCGGCCGGCGCUUGCCGACACAUCAAUCUUUUUUCAGGUUGACCUCGGAUCAGGUAGGGAUACCCGCUGAACUUAAGCAUAUCAAUAGCGGAGGA